ACCAGCAGCCAUAUCGCUCUGCAACUCACAACUGGCAACCCACUGAAGCUAAGCAGGUGUGAGCCUGGUCAGUACCUGGAUGGGAGACCUCCUGGGAAAAACCUGGGAAAGGUUGCUGCUGGAA
rnacentral:rRNA from 1 species